AGCAUUAGGUGCUCUAACCCCAUACAUCCUGUCUCCUCUCAUUCUAAGAGGCAUCAGCAAAGGAAACUCCAUGCAGUGUCUCCCUGAGUACAGGAUGGACUUUCUGCUUCACAGGACGUGUCCUCUCUGAGGAGCUGCCAUCUGGGUAUGAAGAUGUGGAGGACAGUGUGGGAGACCCUUUCUCAGUUAGGAGGCUACGGUUCAGACGUUGAUGGUGACAGGAGACACAGCAGAGGACUAUGAUGAUGUUGAUGGUACAGCAGAGUGCGCAUGUUUUAUCUGGUGAGAGAGCUUUGACCACACCGCCCCCUGGGGAGGGCCCCCCUGAUCCCUGGGUCACAUGAGUGUGGAGUUUGCAUGUUCUCCCCAUGUCGUCGUGGGGUUUCCU